rnacentral:rRNA from 1 species
AGUGAACGCUGGCGGUAGGCCUAAUACAUGCAAGUCGAACGGCAGCACAGUAAGCGCUCGCCCUUACGGGUGGCGAGUGGCGGACGGGUGAGGAAUACAUCGGCAUCUACUUAUUCGUGGGGGACAACGGAGGAAAACUUACGCUAAUACCGCAUACUACCUACGGGUGAAAGCAGGGGAUCUUCGGACCUUGCGCGAUUGAUUGAGCCGAUGCCGCAUUAGCUAGUUGGCGGGGUAAAGGCACACCAAGGCGACGAUCCGUAGCUGGUCUGAGAGGAUGAUCAGCCACACUGGAACUGAGACACGGUCCAGACUCCUACGGGAGGCAGCAGUGGGGAAUAUUGCACAAUGGGCGCAAGCCUGAUCCAGCCAUACCGCGUGAGUGAAGAAGGCCUUCGGGUUGUAAAGCCCUUUUGUUGGGAAAGAAAAGAAGCAUGUGAAUCCCUCGCUGUUCUGACGGUACCCAAAGAAUAAGCACCGGCUAACUUCGUG